CAGGCAUUUCUUUAUUUCAGGGCAAGAAUGAACUAAUUUACUCACCAAAAUAUCCUUUCCCUGAGAACCAAGGAGACUGCCUUCUUCCUUUGCCAAGCACAUCUUCAUUAUUUUGCAGAUAGAUCCUAGUUCUACCCUUAUUUAUCACUGACAUCACAUUUGUUUCUCAUGAUUUUUAUGGUGUGCCAGUUAACACCCUGCUUGCACUUCUUAACCACAUUGAGCCAUUAUAUGACUGGCUUUAGACUAGUGCUCCCCAGGAAUGACCCCUGGGGCUUCUUAGGGUUGAACUCUACUGUGCCUCAGUAUGUGGCCAGAAUAUUGAAAAGUUCAAGCGAAUUGUGCUGGUACCAGAGAUAAGGAAGUAUCUCUACUUUUUGUCUUCCUCUGUAGAUUUCUCCCAGAAGUAAAACUCAGAUGACUAGGACAAGCUGUGGUGAGAGAAGCCAUUGGCUGCCAUCUAGACUGUGUUGAAAGCACACAGUCACUUGUUAAAGGCAGUAAGUGUUCACGGCUGACCUUCGCUUGGACAGGGAGGCAUUGUAGCAUAAAGGAAGAAUAUUAGACAUUGAAUUCAGAGAAAUAUUGGCUUUACCACUAAAAAACAAUGUGACUCUGGAGACAUACCUAUUUGCGGCCUACUUCCUAUUCUCCAAGUGCAUUUUAAUUCCCCUGACUGCAUGAUUUUGUUCAGCAUUUAUGAAUAUCAUCUGUCUAAUCUGGAGAAACACGUCUUAUAGUUGGCCACUCUCAUGGUUCUUGUUGCCUUCUGUUGUUUGGAGGAAUCUAAGGAUUUAUGGAAGUUAUGUUGGUAUAUCAGAAGCUUGUUGGUAUAUAUUUGAGUAGAAGGGCUUCAAUGAAGUCAACUUAUACCACUAAGUGGAUUGUUGAUUCUUCGAUGGAUGAGGCUGUAUAAGGGGAUCAACAUUAAUCAAUGUUGCUGACAGGCUGGACAUUCAGCAGCAACCUUGACAAGAGAAUGAAGGCCAAAUUGAGUUUCCUUGAGCAACUCAUUUAACGUUAAGAAUCAAGAUGGUGCCCAAGCUCAGAUGACAUCCUUUCUAACCCAUUUGGAAGGCUCCUCUCAUAGGAGGUGUGAAAGAAAAGAGAAUGGAAAGGAACAGGCUCUUCUCUUGAAGAAAAGCCCUCAGUCCAUACAGCCAGACUUUGUCUACAUAUGCCUUUCUAUGGGAUGCUGAGAGACCAAGGGCUUCUGACAUAGACAUGUGAGAAAUACUGGCUUUAAGUAUACUAUACUCAGUGUCAAAAGCUUUCAGGAUGCAAGAAAUUCCUGAAUUUGAGUCUCCAAAAUUUUAAACAAGGAAAGGAAGUAAAAAUUAUCUCUUUUUCGAUGUAUGGCCCUAUAGUUGGCCAAAAAUGAUUGCUUCUGUUGUUAGAUAUUCAUGUAUAUUUAAGAUUAAAGAAGGUGAUAUUGAUGUGCAAAUAUGAGAGUAAAUUGACAGACAGAUAACCUAAAAAAGUACAGUAAAAUAAAGUUAAGAGUUGUGAUGAAUACCUAAAGGUCCAUUGCCAGAUGAAUGUGAAGACGGAAUGUGAUUUAUAUAUAUAGUGGAAUAUUAUUCAAUUAAAAAGAAAAUGCUAACACUUGCUAAUAUAUAUAAACCUUCAAGACAUUAUGCUAAGUGAAAGAAGCCAGAUACCAAAGGACAAAUAUUGCACUGUUCCACAUAUAUGAAGUGAACAUCACAUAUUGCUGAAGUUCUCAUCAUCAGAAAGAGGCAGAGCUAAGAUUUAAAUCCAGACAUGCCUGGUUCUGAAUUCAGUUGUCUUCCUACACCCAGGAGCUUAUUACAUGCAUUGUGCUAGUCUUCCUGGAAAUCAGGCAAACUCAGUCCACUGCACCUCAUCUCCUUAUGUAAUAACCUGGAGAGCGGUGAGAGCCAUCUGCUUCAAGAGCGACAUAUUUGAGUCCAUAAGGUAAUAGGUUGGCAGAGAACAGAAGGAUUAUGGCAUUGCCAUUUGGCAUUCUUGACUUACUCUGCAUUUAUAAAAUCGAAAUACAUAGUCCAUCAUGUUCUCACAGAGCCUACCAUUAUCAGUCAUUCUGAAAUAAACAUGGUUAGGGACAUCAUAUUCAAAAUAAGUGAUCCUUGUUUUCGGGAAUGAUGUCUGGCAGGAGGAGUUUUUAAAUCCUGCUUUCUGAAGCACUAGCUUACAAAUGACUUUGUGAAGUGUAUUUUGAUUCUGGGGCCCAAGAAGGAGAAAAACAAGUAAGGGAGAAAAACAUAGGCUGGAUCUUAAGAUCACAAGAUAACAGAUGGAUUAAAGGGUAGAAGCCAGAGCAGAGGUUCCAAAACAAGAUUGAUCAUUCAAAUUCAUCUGAAGAACUUUAAAUAUAUGUAUUUACCUGAACCCAGCUUCAGGAAUGAGGCUCAGACAUCUGUGUAUUUAAAAUCUCCUGUGGUUAUUCUGAUAAUUAGCCUCAGUUUUGAGUCAUCUAACAAAGAAAAAGCAAAACAUAUGUCAAUCAGUUUAUCUUACUGUAAUUAAACUUCAGUGGGAAACAUGAGGUGACCCCAAAGAACUGGUUAAGUGUGGCUUAAGAAUUAGUUAAGCAAAUGUACCAAAAGACAAUUUUAAAAAACCAAAUAAAAAGAAAUUUUAGUUUAUUCUCAGGGGCUUUCACAGGAGUCUAUAAAAAUCUCAAAAACAUCCAGGAAGCUCCCAUCGAAUAAUUUGGCUACCUGAAGUGCUGAAUAAAAGGAGCUCUCCCAAAAGAAGCUGUGAAUUCUCUAUCAGGCCCAUGUCCACUCUUCUAGUCAUAGCCUUACUUCUUAAAGAAAGAGAGAAGCUCUAAUCCAAAUCCAAACAUAGGACAUAUGGCGAAGAUUAUUCUGAGAGACACAGUCCCAGAUUCUCCUCUGCUAUACAGGUGUGACAAAAAAGGAGCAAGAACAAAGACUCUAACAUAAUCCUUAGAUGUUUAUAAUAGAAAAAAGAAUGGAAAGAAAUAAACUUUAGCAUUUACACAGGUUGAGCUGACCUAAUCUGAAAAUCCAAAAUCCAAACUGCUAAAAAACUGAUUGAGUUCUGAAGCUUUGAGUGUCAAAAUGGCUCCACAAGUAGAAAGCUCCACAUCUGACCUCAUGUGAUAGGUCACGGUCAAAAUGCAAUCAAAAUUUUGCUUCAUGCCCAACAUUAUUUAAAAUAUUGUAUAAAAUUACCUUUGGCUAUAUAUUAAUAUGUAAGGUAUAUAUAAAACAUUAGUGAUUUUUGGUUUAGUCUUGGAUCCUAUCCCCAUAAUAUCUCAAUAUAUGUAUGCAAAUAUUCCAACCUCCCUGCGCCCAAAAAAUCCAAAAUCCUAAGCACUUCCAAAAUCUAACAGUAAAACAGGCUGAGUAUCCCAAGCAUUUUGGAUAACAGAUGUUCAACCUGUAUCACUUGGGGUCCAUUCAGGGGAACAAACCCCACGAGGUAUUUCAACAGAGAUAAUUUCAUAUAGGGAAUUUGUUAAUCAGAUGAUGGGGAACUGAAAAGGAAAAUGAGAACAUUAGAAGAGAUCAUUACAAAAAGCUGCUACCUCCCCUCAGGCUGGAGGAAUGAAAGGAAGCUGAGAUCAGGAAGCUCAUUGGGAAGCUGAUCAAAACUUACAAGGUUCAUAGAGGGGCCCAAAGAUUUAGGACUCAGAAUUCCAAGGAGGGUGUUACCUACCUCCAAGGAGGCUGCUACUGAAAUCUCAGGAGCUUGGAGGGAGGGUCUCACACAAUGGGGGCCUAACCUCUGAAGUGAGGAGCUACCAGCUAGUGCUGGUACCUCAGAAGUUGGGAAGAGGUCCUGUGAUGUUGAGAUGCAGACACAUAAUGAGUGGGCUCUGCAGCUGGUGGUCGUGAAGGGGCACAAUGACUCUGUUAGUGGGAAUGGCCCGAUGAUCUGAAAGCUGUAAUUAACAGCUGCUGCCAGGGUAAAAGGCCAAAGUGGGGUGAUCUGAUGGGAAAAAAUAAACAAGCAGAAAUGAACAAGUUCCUUCUCCCCUUCUCCUGCCAUUUACUCUUCCCCUAGUUCUUCCUAUUGAUGGAAAUUAAUAGUAAGCCUUCUGACAAAGGAGACAUGUUGUCUUCAGAACCAUCAUCACAAAGUAGAGGCUAGGAAAGUAGAUGUGGAACCUAAUACCGGGUGAAUCAUUCAUCGCACAGUUUCAAAGGUGGCAACAGAAUUAGCCAAAAGCAAGUAUAGGAUGAAAAUAACAAAGGGAAGGGCAGAAAUAAAAUAAGACAUAAACAUUUGAUAGAGAGGACCAACAAAACAAAAUUUUAA